UACGGAGGGUGCGAGCGUUGUCCGGAAUCAUUGGGCGUAAAGGGCGCGUAGGUGGCCCGGUCAGUUCGUGGUGAAAGCGCGGGGCUCAACCCUGCGUCGGCCAUGAAUACUGCCGCGGCUGGAGCACUGUAGAGGCAGGCGGAAUUCCGGGUGUAGCGGUGGAAUGCGCAGAUAUCAGGAAGAACACCCGUGGCUAAGGCGGUUCUCUAGUACGGUACUGACGCUGAGACGCGAAAGCGUGGGGAGCGAACAGG
rnacentral:rRNA from 1 species